rnacentral:rRNA from 1 species
GAUGAACGCUGGCGGCGUGCCUAAUACAUGCAAGUCGAGCGGACGGACGAGAAGCUUGCUUCUCUGAUGUUAGCGGCGGACGGGUGAGUAACACGUGGAUAACCUACCUAUAAGACUGGGAUAACUUCGGGAAACCGGAGCUAAUACCGGAUGAUAUUUUGAACCGCAUGGUUCAAAAGUGAAAGACGGUCUUGCUGUCACUUAUAGAUGGAUCCGCGCUGCAUUAGCUAGUUGGUAAGGUAACGGCUUACCAAGGCAACGAUGCAUAGCCGACCUGAGAGGGUGAUCGGCCACACUGGAACUGAGACACCGACCAGACUCCUACGGGAGGCCGCAGUAGGGAAUCUUCCGCAAUGGUCGAAAGCCUGACGGAGCAACGCCGCGUGAGUGAUGAAGGUCUUCCGAUCGUAAAACUCUGUUAUUAGGGAAGAACAUAUGUGUAAGUAACUGUGCACAUCUUGACGGUACCUAAUCAGAAAGCCACGGCUAACUACGUG